GGGGUUAUUUUCAGAAAUCACUUGUGAGACGUUAUGCUACUGAGAGAAAUGGAGUGAAUGUGGUUGUUGGACCCAUCUUCGACUAUGACUACAAUGGUCUUAGGGAUACAGCAGAGACAAUAAAACAGUAUGUCAGUGGCUCUGUGCAAAUCCCAAGUCAUUACUACAUUGUGGUUACAAGUUGUCUGGAUUACACACAGACUGUUGACUCCUGUGUUGGUCCUCUCAGUGUGUUCUCUUUCAUCCUUCCACACCGAUCAGAUAAUGAUGAAAGCUGUAAUAGUUCAGAGGACGAGACAAAGUGGGUCGAGGAACUGAUAAAGACACACACAGCACGUAUAAGAGAUGUGGAGUUACUUACAGGACUGGACUUUUAUCGUCGCACUAGCAGGACCUAUGAGGAGAUCCUCUCUUUAAAAACGUACUUACACACAUAUGAGAGUGAGAUCUAAACCACUGCAUCCCCGCAUUAGCAUUCCCUCCAUCUUAACUGUCGGGAUGCAGAAGUAAGGUGUAUAUUUUUAUACAAACUUAUUUUGUAUUUUGUAUAACUUAUUUAUUGUUCUUUCAUUGCUAAUCCUUAAGUGAUUUUUUUUUACAUUCUCCUCCUUAAUGACAGUGACUUAUACG